GGGAGGGGAAGGGGCUUCCCAAGGCAAACAACGGAUCCCAACCCUGAGGGGGGACGGCCACCUGGAACUGACACACGGCCCACACUCCUACGGGAGGCAGCAGUGGGGAAUCUUGCACAGUGGGCGAAAGCCUGAUAGAACCACGCCGCGUGAGAGAUGAGGGGUUUCAGCUUGUAAAUCUCUUUUAAUAGGGAAGAACAUAUGUGGACGGCACUGCGCGAAUAGACACCGCCUAAUUACAUAGCCACAGGGAACUAUAUGAGGCACGGUGCGAGAGAUAUCCGGAAUUAUUGGGCGUAAAGAGCUCGUAGGCGGUUUGUCCCGUCUGUCGUGAAAGUCCGGGGCUUAACCCCGGAUCUGCGGUGGGUACGGGCAGACUAGAGUGCUGUAGGGGAUACUUGAAUUCCUGGUGUAACGGCGGAAUGCUCAUAUCUCUCGAGGAACCCCUUUGGCCAACGCUUCUCUCUGGGCCGUUACCUACGCUUAUUAGUAUA
rnacentral:rRNA from 1 species